rnacentral:rRNA from 1 species
GACGAACGCUGGCGGCGUGCUUAACACAUGCAAGUCGAGCGGUAAGGCCCUUUCGGGGGUACACGAGCGGCGAACGGGUGAGUAACACGUGGGUGACCUGCCCUCAGCUCUGGGAUAAGCCUGGGAAACCGGGUCUAAUACUGGAUAUGACUCCAUGACGCAUGUUGUGGGGUGGAAAGCCUUGUGCGGCUGAGGAUGGGCCCGCGGCCUAUCAGCUUGUUGGUGGGGUGANGGCCUACCAAGGCGACGACGGGUAGCCGGCCUGAGAGGGCGACCGGCCACACUGGGACUGAGACACGGCCCAGACUCCUACGGGAGGCAGCAGGUGGGGAGUCUUGCGCAAUGGGCAAAGCCUGACGCAGCGACGCCGCGUGAGGGAUGACGGCCU